ACGUGCAGUUUAUUGUGUUUCAGUGUAAAAUUAAUAAAAGUAGUAAUAAAAGUAAUAAUAAUAUCUAUAUAAAAGUAAUAUGCUGUAAGAGUGCAUCGCCCGUAUUUAUCACGAAAACGCCUACGAUAUCCCGAGAAUCCUUAUCACAUCAAAAUCCUGACAACAAAUUUCCUCUGUCAUUUUAAGGUUAUGUUUCCGUUUUAUAUGCAUGAAACACAUAAACGUUCAAAUGUAUCCGGAUAUUUUCUUAUGUUUAACAAGAUGUACUUUAAUUACUACAUUACUAGUAAAUCGAACUGUAAUGAUUACAUUUUUAGCUAUCAUUAUACAGUAUCGGUAAAUAAUUAUAAACUCAACAAUAUUUUUACAUUUUUCAUUAUGUUGACUGAAAAUCUUAAGUAUCCAUUUAUGUAUUUCCAUAUUGUAGUGUGAAACAAAGUUGAUGUAUAUAGAAAUUUUGUUCUUUGGAAAUCCAACAAAAUUUUAAUUGUUUCUUAACUAUGUACAUUUACUAAUGCAGUUAUUGAAUAAAUUUGAAUUGAAUAAAGUAUGAACAUCAAAAUAUUGGCGUGGAGAUGAAUUCGUUGUCAGAGACUUAAUUAUCAACACUCUCAGAUUAUGUAUGAUAGAGAACUGAAAAUGAUCAGGUAUAUGUAUAUGAUACGAACUUCUAUGAAAUUGUGAGAAAAUAUUUCAUAGCAAUUUAUAUCAAAUACAUAUGUGAAGUUGAACAAUAGAGAUAGGUACUGUAUUAAAAUUAUUUGUAGGUAGUACAGUGAAUGUGUUAACAUAAGUACUAUGACAACAUAUUUCUGUUUUAUCACUAUUUCAAAAUUUGCUGUCACCGUACACACUGAUGACUUCAAAAGUAUCAAAGGUUCUUUGUCGUUCUACUAGCCAUCUUCUCAUCUUCUAUACAACAUAACUUCCAUCAUACCAUAUGUAUAAAAAGUUUGACGAGAGAAAAUAACAAUUCUGCAACACGUACCGGAACCAGUUUCCUGGAAUUCCCACCUCCUCGUUUAAAAUAAUCUCGCCCUUUACACAUCGCAAACUUCGCAGCCCAAUCGUCACGACAACCCCCAUCGCGUUUCUCCGGUUUCCACGCCAGCCGCUGUAAUCGUCCAGAAUCCCCAUAGCGGCGCGAUAUACUCGUAUAUGUAUGGCGCACAGAGCCGUGUUAGCGGCAAUCGUGCCGGCGAUAACGACGCUGGAUGUAAACUGCGAAGUUACCAGGUUAGAACCAAUCGUGUAACCAGAGCUGUAUCUCGCGUAACGCGCCUUAAGGAGCUCCCCGAUUGGCGUUCGAGCAGAAAUUUGUAGCGCGAGUUAAGCCCCGAACCUUCGGUUGAAGGAAUGGAAUUUUCGUGCACAACUAUCGCAGGCGAACCAUUGAACUGGGAAUGUUAACCAUUUGGUAAUUGUCGAUACAACUUGAUGUCGUUUGUUGAAGUAUCGUCUGUAGUUUUUGCUUCAGUGUACGAAUAGAAAGCUGUGAAUCCGUUUCUGCGCUCUACUUCUCAGUGGAUGUUAGAAAACACGUAUUUUCCACUAUCAUGUAUAGUAACAAUCGAAGAAACAUUUAUAGUAAAGAAUGUCAUCAAAGAUUUCUGGAAUACGUAGAAAGAUAUUGGGAAAAGGCGAAUAUUUUCAAUCGAAUCGAAAGAAGAGAAAGGAAUUGAUGAAACUCCCGGCUUGUCGAGUUUUUUUUCGCGCCAAUGAUUGGAAAAUUUCAUUUAAUCUAAAAAGUAUUCGAUUGUUCUGGCUGGCGUAGCAGGAGGAACUUCCCGUGGAAAUUGUUCGCCUUUAACAAGAAGAUUCUCUGCAGCAUCAUCGAGAAGGAAUUCGGUAUCCGUUCGUUUCCUCUGGCCCAGGUCGAGAGUAUCCCGGGGGCGAGAAAAGUUUCCUAUCCCCUAUAAAAAAUUAUUCUUUGUUCCCCACCGAUAGAGGUUCGAGCGAGAGGUUUUUCUUUGACAACUUAUCUUCAGGCCGUCGAACGGAAUGCCGUGAAAUUCAUUAAACUCUUACGUCGUCCCAUCUACCAAAGGGGAUCGAGGCCUUCUUUGUCGAAAAACCGGACUUAUUAUCUCCGGAAAGCUCAUCUGAAAGUCAUUCGGUGUCUUUGUGAAGAUCGACGCCCUUUGCCGGGUGUCGAUAUUAAAUCGACGCGGCCAAUUUACUCUCGUAACGAGACCUAACGCAAUUUUCGUUGUUUGUCGGUUUAUCGUGGCUUUCGUUUGCUUUGCAUUCUUGGGAAUCAUCCGUACGCCCCGCUUAACGCGUAAUAUAAUAUUAACGAACGAAGAAGAUUCCAACGAACUUGAUACUUUUUUUUAUAUAAUGUCUAUAUCUAUAAUCAAUUAGUUUGCAUGGUACAUAUAUCUAACGCAUCUUUUGAAUUUUAUUUAUGUUUAUUUUUAAAAACAUAUUCGGCCAAGUAUGGAUUAGGUUAAUUAGCUUGUGUUAGGGCUGCUAAUAUAAUUACUAGACUAUGAAUGUCUAGCGAUACUAAUGAAAAACUACGUGCUUCUUAUACGUGUAUUACAAAGGUAUAAUAUUGUACGAUAUUUAAAACAAAUAUAACUAUGCAUUUCAAUGUUUACGAAAGGAAAUGUUAGAAUAACUUAUCAACGUUUUCACGGUUAACGAUAGGAAUUUUUAAAUCGAAACACCGAAUUGAUAUGAACGUGAAAACAUCGCCAAUCGCGACUCCGAUACUCGAGCGAUAAAACGUUUCGAUAUAGACUCCACCGUCUAUUCUAAACGUUCAUCGUUUGCUCAAUCUCUUUUAUCUCGAUUAUUCUCGAAAAUCGUGUAUACGUUCAAACUCGCUUUUACGAAAACCUAUAUUUUUCCUCUCUGCAAAAAAAAAAAAAAAAAAUUGUAUAUCUUUUAUUUCACGCUUUUUAUCCACUUUUUCACGGAGAAUCGCCUCUUUUCUUGUCCCGUUAUAUAUCGCGUUGUAUAUUUCCUCGCUUGGCCGUUAUUCCUUUAUCGGACCGCGUAAAAAUGUCAUAAAACCGUGCGUGCAUAAAGCCGCGUCUCCAAUGACUCGAGACCGAUCUUAAUCCUAUAACAUCGACGACGUGUUAUUCCACGAUUUCCUCUGUGUUCGGUUUCUGUUUCCUGUGCGUUCGAUCUCUCGCGAUCAUCUUAUUCGUUCUAAGCAUAGACGAUAGAAAAUAAUCGCUGUUUUACGACGUCUUCCCAAAGAUACGUUUCUUUAUUCCAUCGCGAUGCCGCUAUCGCAGCGGCUAUUGUUUCUUCGUACAGUCACUUAAAACGCUAUUAUCUUUGAUCGUUCUGCGCUGAUUUAUUCCAUCGAGAAGAAUAAAACAGAAACAAAGAAAAAAAAAACACGAAGAACCUACGAUACGAUUUACCUUCUAUUUUUAUAUUUUUAUUUGUACAUGUUUUAUCGUCAGGAGACGAUUUUCACGAGAAAAUGUGGAAAUCUUAUUCUAAUUUCUAGUUAAGAGAUAUUUCCAUCGUGAUAUAUCGAAUGGAAUGGCCUAUAUCUCGUCCCAGUCUAACAAAUUUUUAUCGGUCAAAGCGUUCCGGAGAUCGCCGAGUUUUUCCACGACACUGCCAUUAAGUCUUUCCUUUGCCGCCUCUUUCUCUCGUCCCGGCGCUGGAUUGUCGCGGUAUCUUACGCCGCUUCUAUCAUUUCUUAUCGCCAACGUCCACGUUUCCUAAGAUACGGUGAAAAUAAUCGCGACGUUGGCGAUAUUUUUAGGAUGAUGCAUCUCUUUCUCGCGAGGACGCGCCGCGCCGACACUAUUUUCCAGAAUUUUGAGCGUGACACCUAAACCCUCGUUCACAUCGCGACCAAGUUUCCCAUCUUCCUAACUUACUCGUGCAACGAAAAACCUAGAAAAGUUUUACGUCCUGUAAUUAAACUACGUCAGAAACUCUUGCAAAUUUAAUUCUUUGUUUCGCUCGUAAUAUUAAUCUUCCUAACCUCAUUCCUCAUGGGCGAAAUAAAAUUGCAACGACACGAAUUCUUUACAUUUCGAUCGUCGGACGUAAACGGUAGAACGUUGUUUCGAUAGAAAUACGGACAUCGCGUAGUGUUCUGCUUUUUAAUGAAAAUAAGAACGUGCAAUAUGGAAAGUAAUAAACAGUUUAUAAAACUUAACAUAAUAAUAUUAAUAUUAAGAUAAUAUUAAAAUAAUAAACUAACAUAGUUUAUAAAGCAGAGUUUAGGUUUCAAAAUUCAUGAUGGAAGUUGUGUAGGGAGCCUAAGACAUACUUUCCGCGUACUUCCAAUAAAAUGUUCUUUAGUAGAGGCUCUUAGGGAGAUUUCUUUGCAAGAUAAGCGCAUGUUUACAGUGGUCACGUCGUCUUAAAUAUAAGUGACGAAGAGAGGAAACGGACAGCCGCGUUUCGCUAGUCCAACGUUUCCACCGCUUCAACCGUAUAAUCUCUGGGCGGGAAUUUCGUAGUCGCUAGACGCGAUAUCGCCUUAAGCUGGUCUUAAUUACGCGUUUCUAAUUACUCGCACGACUUUGGUGUGUUGGAUAUGUUGCCACGUUCUCCGGGAAAA